UACGAAGGGGGCUAGCGUUGUUCGGAAUCACUGGGCGUAAAGCGCACGCAGGCGGAUCGUUAAGUCAGGGGUGAAAUCCCGAGGCUCAACCUCGGAACUGCCUUUGAUACUGGCGAUCUUCGAGUCCGGGAGAGGUGAGUGGAACUCCGAGUGUAGAGGUGAAAUUCGUAGAUAUUCGGAAGAACACCAGUGGCGAAGGCGGCUCACUGGCCCGGUACUGACGCUCAUGUGCGAAAGCGUGGGGAGCAAACAGG
rnacentral:rRNA from 1 species